ensembl:lncRNA
CUUCUCUGUCUCCAGUCCCUAGCUACUACCCUCCUCUCUCUCCAGUCCCUAGCUACUACCCUUCUCUUUCUCUCUCCAGUCCCUAGCUACUACUCUUCUGUCUCCAGUCCCUAGCUACUACCCUCCUCUCUCUCCAGUCCCUAGCUACUACCCUUUUGUCUCUCCAGUCUCUAGCUACUACCCUUCUGUCUCUCCAGUCCCUAGCUACUACCCUUCUGUCUCCAGUCCCUAGCUACUACCCUUCUCUGUCUCCAGUCCCUAGCUACUACCCUUCUCUCUCUCCUGUCCCUAGCUACUACCCUUCUCUGUCUCCAGUCCCUAGCUACUACCCUCCUCUCUCUCCAGUCCCUAGCUACUACCCUUCUCUUUCUCUCUCCAGUCCCUAGCUACUACCCUUCUCUUUCUCUCUCCAGUCCCUAGCUACUACCCUUCUCUUUCUCUCUCCAGUCCCUAGCUACUACCCUUCUCUCCAGUCCCUAGCUACUACCCUUCUCUCUCCAGUCCCUAGCUACUACCCUUCUCUCUCUCUCCAGUCCCUAGCUACUACCCUUCUCUCUCUCCAGUCCCUAGCUACUACCUUUCUCUCUCUCUCCAGUCCCUAGCUACUACCCUUCUCUCUCUCCAGUCCCUAGCUACUACCCUUCUCUCUCUCUCCAGUCCCUAGCUACUACCCUUCUCUCUCUCUCCAGUCCCUAGCUACUACCCUUCUCUCUCUCUCUCUCCAGUCCCCAGCUACUACCCUUCUCGCUCUCUCUCCAGUCCCUAGCUACUACCCUUCCCUCUCUCUCUCUCUCUCUCUCUCUCUCCAGUCCCUAGCUACUACCCUUCUCUCUCUCUCCAGUCCCUAGCUACUACCCUUCUCUCUCUCUCCAGUCUCUAGCUACUACCCUUCUGUCUCUCCAGUCCCUAGCUACUACCCUUCUCUCUCUCCAGUCCCUAGCUACUACCCUUCUCUCUCUCCUGUCCCUAGCUACUACCCUUCUCUGUCUCCAGUCCCUAGCUACUACCCUCCUCUCUCUCCAGUCCCUAGCUACUACCCUUCUCUUUCUCUCUCCAGUCCCUAGCUACUACCCUUCUCUUUCUCUCUCCAGUCCCUAGCUACUACCCUCCUCUCUCUCCAGUCCCUAGCUACUACUCUCUCUCUCUCUCCAGUCCCUAGCUACUACCCUUCUCUUUCUCUCUCCAGUCCCUAGCUACUACCCUCCUCUCUCUCCAGUCCCUAGCUACUACCCUUCUCUCUCUCUCCAGUCCCUAGCUACUACCCUUCUCUCUCUCCAGUCUCUAGCUACUACCCUUCUGUCUCUCCAGUCCCUAGCUCCUACCCUUCUGUCUCUCCAGUCCCUAGCUACUACCCUUCUCUCCAGUCGCUAGCUACUACCCUUCUCUCUCUCUCCAGUCCCUAGCUACUACCCUUCUCUCUCUCCAGUCCCUAGCUACUACCCUUCUGUCUCUCCAGUCCCUAGCUACUACCCUCCUCUCUCUCCAGUCCCUAGCUACUACCCUCCUCUCUCUCCAGUCCCUAGCUACUACUCUUCUGUCUCCAGUCCCUAGCUACUACCGUCCUCUCUCUCCAGUCCCUAGCUACUACCCUUCUCUUUCUCUCUCCAGUCCCUAGCUACUACUCUUCUCUCUCUCUCUCUCUCUCUCUCUCUCCACUACUACCCUCCUCUCUCUCCAGUCCCUAGCUACUACCCUUCUCUCUCUCUCUCUCUUUCUCUCUCUCCAGUCCCUAGCUACUACCCUUCUGCUUUGAGACGCGGGGGACCUUUCACACUGACUCUCUCUCUUCCUGGUGCCAUCUCAACCGUAGUGUUAAAACAUCUCUACUUCUAGCCUCUCUAUCAUCUCAACUCAGUUGAGCCUUUUAAUCAGUGUGACAACGUUACUACUGUAGACCCACCCUGGGCAAAACAAGGAUGACUCUCGUCGUCCUUCCGGAAUUUGAUUUGUGAAUGUGUUCUCUAUUCCAUUUCUAGCUUGUUGUAUGAGCUCAGAUUUGUCUUCUGGGUGACAUUGACACGGAUGAUGAUGCGUUCAUCUUUGCAUUCUCUCUCUUCACACCUAGUCAGUGUUUAAACUGGAAUUACAACAUCUUCAACAACGUUCAGGGAUUCAAUACUAUGCUUUUCAGUAAUUACUACAGUAUAUGCAACCCGUGCAGAAUGGUGCAACGUACGUACUUGCAUUGGUGCAGGAGCGACUUUCACACCACUGUAGCAUUUUAAAAACAUUUUUAAUCUUGUCUAUUGAUGUUUUAAUGAUUUGCUGAGCUGAGCUUUUGGGUAUUAGACAGAGAGCAGGUGGGCAGGUGCCAACUCAAACAAUUAUUACUUUACCUCUAUCUGAAAGACAGUGGAACGGACUUAGGGAAAGCCCAACUGUAUUACUAGAUUGUGGCUGUACUCUUGGGGGUAAAGGCUGCAGUUGGCCAGUGGUCUCGCAGCGGAUGUAGGCUCUAUCGCAAUUAGUCUUUCCUUGAUUCCUCACAUCCUAUCUCCUUGCCUAAUAUGGUUGAGGAGGAGGAGAGAAGGGAUGCGAAGAUUCAAGGACAUUUUAAUUGAGAAAGCCAUAGAAUGGUGGCCGUUACUGUGAACCCCCCCCCUCCCUCGCUACACACUGGAAGCCUGUAGCGCUCAGCAAUAGCAACUAGCAAGCAAAGGGCAUUGGAGGAAGAGUGGAAGGGGCACCAGUUUCCAAGCAGUUAGUGGUGAACCAACAGUCUGAUAUACAAUCACUACAGUACUACUGCAUUAUUUUGGUUGUCGUAUGUGCUUCUGAGAAAGAAAAAAAAUAUGUAGCCAUGUUGUGGUCCUCUGACGAUUUCUGGUAUUUUGAGGAUAUCAUUUUGUGUACAUGAUUUUAUUUUUAAACCACAACUACUUCUACAAAGCUGAUUACACUGUACAGGCGUUUUAAACCCCAAGCCACACUACAAUCUUCUUAGUUGAUCAGACCUUGGCCUUCUUGUGAGAGUUGACUUUCUUUCAGAUAAACUUCAGAAAGCCCAAAUAACAUUUGACUUCAGAUUGACUGGGAUAUUGAAAUGCACAUUAUGUAAAUAUAUAUGUCAUUUUUAGAUCGUAGAUGAUGGAUAUAGCAUGAGGUUGUUUCUAUUGUUAUUAGAAUAUAUCACAAAGACUGGAAAAAAUCCCAGAUAAAUGAAUUAUUACAUAAUAAGAUUUUACCUGUUUAUUUUGUAUAUCUAUGUUUUUAAAUUGUAUCAAUUUAUGGCCCAAAUGGCCCAAAACGGUCACUCUUCCUUCCCCAGAUGAGACUAACUUCUUUCUAAGGUGAUCUGAUGAAAAUCCCCUCAAAUGGAACCCUGAAUCAACAGUUAUAUACCAUUUUCACACUACUGAGCUGAGCCGAACUAAGCCGAACCGAGUUGGAUAGAGAUGGCCUGGUUAAGCAUCCACCAUAGUUGCUGGAAGAAAGCUGAAAAUGACAAUGUGAUCGGAAAAUAUCAGAGCCAGCAAAGAAUGGUUCGGGUUGGCUCAGUAGUGUGAAAAUAGUCAUUGUUUUACCUCAGACAUCCUAGCUCAGACCCUUAUGUUACACUACAACAUUGACAUACCAUUGCUACAAUGUUGCAAGAAUGUUAUUCCUUGUAUGUGACCAUCAGACAGUGUUUUCUGUAACACACUUCCUCUCAAAACAACCCUAAAGCUAAACCUAGGUUCGCUUCGGUUCUGUAUUUGCUGAUAGUCGAACAGUGUGACUUGGCACAAAUGACUGUUCUAUUGGCAAGUGGACUUGCCAAUCAUUUUUAUGCUUUGAAGUUAUUUAACAAACUUUCAGAUGCCUGGUUGGAAGUGGAUGUUAAAUAUUGUACAGAUAAAUUGUAUGCUAUUGUCCCUAAAAUAAAGUAUAGUGACUGCUCAUUA